rnacentral:misc_RNA from 1 species
UAUUUAAUAAUUGUGUUUGCUCGCAAACGAAAAAAAAACCGACUUCAAUUACAUCGACGAGUAAUACAACGUAGAUCGACGAAAAAAUAGUCAAGUAACUACGCGUUAUCAAAGAUUACUCAAAAAGUAGUUAUCAGAUCUCGAUAAAAUUAAAAAUUAUCAAAAUCGAUACACCCAGUAAAAAUUAUUGCGGAUUUUCGAGAGUUUCCCUCGAUUUCUCUGGGAUCCUAUCAUCAGAUCCUGGUUUCCUUAUCAUGGUAC